AAAAGCGUAGUCGAUGGGAAACGGGUUAAUAUUCCCGUACUGGUGGUAACUGCGAUGGGGGAACGGAGAAGGCUAGGUUGGUCCGGGCGACGGUCGUCCGGUUCAAGCAUGUAGGCAGAGUGAUUAGGCAAAUCCGGUCACUUAAUGCUGAGGUGUGAUGACGAACCACUAAGGUGGUGAAGCAAUUGAUGCCCUGCUUCCAGGAAAAGCCUCUAAGCUUCAGGUUAUCAACAAUCGUACCCCAAACCGACACAGGUGGUCAGGUAGAGAAUACUCAGGCGCUUGAGAGAACUCGGGUGAAGGA
rnacentral:rRNA from 1 species